ACGACGACCGUCUGGUUCGAGUGACAACUUGACGAUUCGGUUUGAAUUUUGGUGGAGAAUAGCGACGGCGACUGAAUGCCCACUAACAUCGAUUCUAUCCCUUAUUAUUCGCCACUUACAGGUGAUUACUCGGGUACAGGACAGGUGGUACGAGUUUCAACAGUUUCAUACAUGUGACGUAUAACGGCCUCGCAAUUCACUGUAGGGCCAAUAACACUCAUAUGAGUAUUAUCGUUAUAGUAUAAUAUUAUUUGGCGAGUACGAACGACACACGGCACGACCGACCACUGUAUCGGAAACGUCGCAAUGCCGGCGAAACGAAUUAACGCAGGCUAUGGAGGUGUGGAGGCACAACGACGGACAAGGCGGCACUACAACUCAUGUUGCGUAAAACACAAUGCCGUCUCGAACAUAGGUAAAAGACAACGAAGGGGCGUAUAUCGGCUGGAAAAAACAACGCUACGACGGCAGUAGUCCAGCAAAGGUCGUUGGAUGACUGAUGAGGUUAAGUGUCUGCGGUGUCCACGGUGGAAGUGCGUUAUCGGCAACGGCAUACAAGGUGAACGGAGCGGACGGCAUAUAUAUUAGACGCAAUGUCUGUGCCUCGAUCGCGGUGUGCGAACAAUGUAUGGUUAAAAUAGAUCAGAUUCUGAAAAUAGUAAUAAUAACGUGCUUAAAAAUUGAUACAAUUAAAAAAGUAUAAAGAAAGUAGACCCUCACUUUUUAAAAAAGAAACGUUAUCCUAAUAAAUUGUCUUCAGGUAAACUAUUUAUUAUUUAUUAUGCAACUAAAAGUACCUAAAAGUUAUAAUAAUUAUUAUUUUCGAAUCAGUUACAUUUAUACCAUAUCACCAAUAUGCAGAAGGAAAAAAAAGAGGUUUCGUUGUUGAAAAUAAUAAUUCAUCAUCUGAACUAGAUAAGGACUUUUAUAUUCUACUUACAUUCAAUAGUCUACGUGCAAAAUGUUCAUGGUGCAAUGAAAAUGAUGGAAAAGAAAUAUUGUGUGAAUGCUGUGUCUGUUAUAGAAAAUAUCAUGAUUAUUGUCAUAUUCCUAUAAUUGUUUCCAGGUGGCAGGGUUGGGCGAAAAAUCGCUGAGCCUAUUUUAAUGGAAUAGUACUGUAACCUCGGAAGCAGUGAUAUUUUCAAAAAACGUCCUAUAAAGAAGUUGUUGAUGAUACAAAUUUUGAUUUAGCAAGGAAAUCUAUAACUUAUCUAUGCAGUUUGUACCAAACAUUUAUCAAUGAUCCCACAAGAAAUAAGCAAUGGACUGUAGUCUGUCCAGAUUCCGAAAAAAGACAAGCUUGAAUGCAUCUGUAACUGACCAUGAAACGAAUAACAGAAAUAACAGCUAUGCAGAGGUGUGUACAUUGUAUUAUUGUAUACAAAUUUAUUUUUACACUGCUUUAUGAUAAUAUUAUGUUUGUUCAUUUAUUUUUGUCGAUAUUUUAUACUCGAUUGGACAAGCUCGUAUAAAAAUAUAACUGCAUCGACCGUCAAUAUUCCGGUCCUACCAUCCACACAGUAAAGGUUCAUGUUUUGAAAAAAACGGUGUAAAGUUUAUAUUUAAACAUAACAAGACACCUCAACCGCACAACUCAUGAUGGGGGAGUACUUGGCACGGAUGUUUGUUUGUGUCCACUUGGAUCCUAUUGGGUACCAUAAUGCACCCUCACAGUCUUUGCCUUCACUGCGGUACGCUGCAUUGGUGCAGUGCGACGCAAUUAUCGUGCAUAUCUAUGGGCAUUGGGCACUUUAUAGAGAACACAAAAGAAACCAGCUUGAUAAAAUGGAAUAAACAAAUUAACCGAAAAACAUUAACAAUGGAGAGAAUGAAAAUUGAAACUACAACGAUGGCGGUUGCAACAAUUUGUAAAAAACAGGGUCCCUUGUUUCUACUUAGUACAUUUUUCUAGUUAUGAUUUACAAUACAUAAUAUGUAACUUCAUUUUGCUUCUUAAUACGGGGAUGUUUAUUGUAUAGGAGGGCAAACUUCUAUUUCAUUUUGAAAUUAUGAAACACUACACAUGAUAUUAUCUUAAGCAUCAUGGAGAAAAUAAAAUUAUGUUUGGAAGUCAAAGACUCAAUUAACAAAAAUCAAUCUGAACAUAUUUAAGUUUCAGUUUUUAUUAAGAUUUUUUUAUACACAAUAAACUUAAUGGAAAUCUUUUUUUUAAACUAAAUGUUUUUCUUA